AGAGUUUGAUCCUGGCUCAGGAUGAACGCUGGCGGCGUGCUUAACACAUGCAAGUCGAACGAUGAAGCCCAGCUUGCUGGGUGGAUUAGUGGCGAACGGGUGAGUAACACGUGAGUAACCUGCCCCCGACUCUGGGAUAAGCCCGGGAAACUGGGUCUAAUACCGGAUAUGACCUCUUGCCGCAUGGCAGGUGGUGGAAAGAUUUAUCGGUGGGGGAUGGACUCGCGGCCUAUCAGCUUGUUGGUGAGGUAAUGGCUCACCAAGGCGACGACGGGUAGCCGGCCUGGGAGGGUGACCGGCCACACUGGGACUGAGACACGGCCCAGACUCCUACGGGAGGCAGCAGUGGGGAAUAUUGCACAAUGGGCGAAAGCCUGAUGCAGCGACGCCGCGUGAGGGAUGACGGCCUUCGGGUUGUAAACCUCUUUCAGUAGGGAAGAAGCGAAAGUGACGGUACCUGCAGAAGAAGCGCCGGCUAACUACGUGCCAGCAGCCGCGGUAAUACGUAGGGCGCAAGCGUUAUCCGGAUUUAUUGGGCGUAAAGAGCUCGUAGGCGGUUUGUCGCGUCUGCCGUGAAAGUCCGAGGCUCAACCUCGGAUCUGCGGUGGGUACGGGCAGACUAGAGUGAUGUAGGGGAGACUGGAAUUCCUGGUGUAGCGGUGAAAUGCGCAGAUAUCAGGAGGAACACCGAUGGCGAAGGCAGGUCUCUGGGCAUUUACUGACGCUGAGGAGCGAAAGCAUGGGGAGCGAACAGGAUUAGAUACCCUGGUAGUCCAUGCCGUAAACGUUGGGCACUAGGUGUGGGGAACAUUCCACGUUUUCCGCGCCGUAGCUAACGCAUUAAGUGCCCCGCCUGGGGAGUACGGCCGCAAGGCUA
rnacentral:rRNA from 1 species